UACGUAGGUAGCGAGCGUUAUCCGGAAUUAUUGGGCGUAAAGGGUGCGUAGGCGGCUUGUUAAGUUUAAGGUGAAAGCGUGGGGCUCAACCCCAUAAAGCCUUAGAUACUGACGAGCUAGAGUACUGGAGAGGGUAGUGGAAUUCCAUGUGUAGCGGUAAAAUGCGUAGAUAUAUGGAGGAACACCGGUGGCGAAGGCGGCUACCUAGACAGAGACUGACGCUGAUGCACGAAAGCGUGGGGAGCAAAUAGG
rnacentral:rRNA from 1 species